GGAGCAUGCUACAUGCAAUGGCGGAGAUUUUAAACAACUUGGGCUCAAAGCAUGGCAUCUGUGUUUGGCGGUGUCCUUUCUUCAAGCAAAUAAAUAUGUUUGUCUGAGGUGUUUGAUGAGGCUCUGCGUGGUAGCCAUCCAACGUGACGUGUAGUGCUGUCCGGGUUUGAAGUCGUCUUUCUGGACCCGCCGCCUCCUCACCUACACCAGGUAGUCCAUGGUGGCUACAGCAUCGGCACACCUGGACGAG